UUUUCUCAAGGAUAUUGUUUCUGGAAACUUCUGACCUGCUCCAAUCUAGAGAGGCUGCCUUCUCAGCUUGCUGACCCUACAUCCUGGGGAUUCCCAUCACCUUCUUCUUGUUUUGGGUCUCCUGGAUCCCUCCUCUUCCUCUCUUUUGGCUUACUGCCUUAUUUGGUAAAGCCCAUCCUCUUGGAGCUUCCUGAACAAGGUUGUGUGGAAGAAACAAUGGAAAGUGUUGAAGAGGGACAGUGCAAGGUUCGUUCUGUCUAACGUGGAGAGAAUUGUAAGAGUGUGGCCUGGAGGGCCCGCAUGCCUUGUGUGCCUCUUAGAUACCAAAACCCCAGGGCUUAUCAAAACCCUGCUGUUUUGAAUGGACCAUUCCAGUCUGAAUCCAGGAACUCCAAAGAACUACACCCAUGG